rnacentral:lncRNA from 1 species
GCUGGGCGGGCCGGGCUGGGCGGCCCCGGCGGCGGGGGCGGUCCGCUCCCGGAGGCCGCGCCUCCUUUGCACCCUCCUUCCUGAAGAUGGCCGCGCAGGCCAGGGCUCCGGCACCCGGCUGCGGACCAGAUCCCCUGGGCUGCACCCGGCCUUGCGCCCCUGGUCCGCGCUCGCAGGCUCGGAAACGGGCGGUCCUCCCGAGGCUGAAAGUGUGCUACAGGGGGAACUGGACCAGAGCGUUCUGAGGCUUGCUUUACUAAGAUGGCACAAACGGGAAAAAAGGAAAAUGAAGUCCUAUUAAUAUGUUUAUGAUAGGAAGAAUAAUUAGAAAAGUAGAAUAAAAAAACUGAAGCAUGGUGAAAUCA